rnacentral:misc_RNA from 1 species
GCCACGAUUCACAUGUUGAGAAUCGCUGAACCCUUCAUUGCAUGGGGGUACCCCAACCUCAAGAGUGUGAGGGAAUUGGUGUACAAAAGGGGAUAUGGAAAAGUUGGAAAUCAGCGUAUUCCUCUCACAGACAAUGCCCUCAUUGAGAAACACCUCGGACGCUUUGGAAUCAUCUGUAUGGAAGACUUGAUCCACGAGAUCUACACAGUUGGACCCAACUUCAAGUAUGCUGCCAACUUUUUGUGGCCAUUCAAACUGAACACACCUAAUGGUGGAUGGAGAAGGAAGUACAACCACUUCAACGACGGUGGUGACUUUGGCCUGCGUGAGGACAGCAUUAACCCUCUGUUGCGCAGAAUGGUGUAACAAGUGUUAAUACAUGUGAUAAAAUAAAGACAAGAAAAACAC